CAAGCAAAACGACAUCAUUUUCUAUGUCUCCGAACAGCACCGCUAUUCUCAGCAGCGUACGAGGAGCUUGAAAUCGAGGUUAGUAUACACUCUAUGUCUCCGAACAGCACCGCUACGACGGCGUUUCGUUAAACCUAUGUGGCGGAUAGUUUCAGAGUUUGCACUGAGAACCAAAAGCAAAACGACAUCAUUUUCUAAAAUACAGCAGCUAUUUACUUUCUCGCGACACAUUGUUUCAAAUUCGUCGUCGAAACCUAGUUUAUCAAUAUGGAGGCGAAAGAAAGAGAUGGGAAAAGAGGGGUUAAUUAUUACCAAAGAGCUCAAAAGAUUACAAUCAAAUCCGGUUCGUCUCGACCGGUUCAUUAAGUCGCAUGUUUCUCGUCUCCUCAAAUCUGAUCUCGUCUCGGUUCUCUUCGAGUUUCAACGGCAAGAUCAGGUUUUCCUGUCCAUGAAGUUGUAUGACAUAGUGCGCAAAGAAAUAUGGUAUCGGUCAGACAUGUUUUUCUACAGAGACAUGCUUAUGAUGCUUGCAAGAAACAAAAAGGUAGAUGAAGCAAAGUUGGUCUGGGAAGAUUUGAAAAGCGAGGGUGUUUUGUUCGACCAGCAUACAUUUGGAGACAUCAUCAGGGCCUUCUUAGACAGCGGGCUGCCAUCAGAAGCAAUGGACAUAUAUGAGGAGAUGAGACAAUCUCCGGAUAUUCCAUUAUCUUUGCCAUUUCGAGUAAUUUUGAAAGGGCUUAUUCCGUACACAGAUCUGAGAGAAAAAGUCAAAGGUGACUUCUUAGAACUUUUCCCCAACAUGAUUGUAUAUGACCCGGCUGAAGACUUUUUGGAAGAUCGAGAAAGGGAGAGUGAAGAUGAUUAGAAGGCAAUGGAUGUUCAUGGCAGACAAUGCUUGCUUUCGCAGAUGUAGAUGCUCAUUAUCUGCAACAGCUGGAAAAUUUAGAUGGUUACGGAAGACUGAAGCUUGUGGUUGAUUAGAUUGUAUCUCCAGUUUUGGAGCUUGGCGUGCAAUGCAAACCUCUCCCUUUCUCAAGCUCCAUAAAGCGUUACAAAAUGUCUAGGCUGAAGUUCUUAUUGUCGAUCUAUGGAGCAGUGCUGCUACAACAAAAGCACGAGAUCUAUAAAUGCAGCUGAAGACGGAAUGAGAAGUUACUCUUCUCAGAAGUUUAUUUCUGCAGGAUAGAUACACCAAGUUUUGCACUAUAUUCUCCAUUACAUAAUUCAAAUAAAAGCAUUUUAUGUUAUUUAUAACCUUAUUAUAAUAAGUAGACAAGGAUGAUCUGCUAUCGUCUUUUGGAACUUGGUAACCGAUUAUUUAUUUUGAACUUGUUUAUGGAAAAGGGUGAAGGUGGUGAGCAUUUUAUGCAUUUAGAGCCUGCAUGUAUAGUAAGGGUGUUCUCUCUAGAACCAAAUCAAAAAUUGGGAAUUUCUACAAUGAAAUUUCUGGAACAGUUACUAAAAAUUGGUUCGGUUUGAUUUA